UGGUCAAGUUAUUAAGGGUGCAGGGCGGAUGCCUUGGCACUAGGAGCCGAUGAAGGACGUGAUAAGCUGCGAUAAGCUUCGGGGAGUUGCACGUAAACUUUGAUCCGAAGAUUUCCGAAUGAGGAAACUCACUUAGAGUAAUGUCUAAGUAUCAUUAAGUGAAUACAUAGCUUAAUGAGGGGAACUCAGGGAACUGAAACAUCUAAGUACCUGAAGGAAGAGAAAGAAAUUCGAUUCCGUAAGUAGCGGCGAGCGAACGCGGAUUAGCCCAAACCAAUAAAGUUUUCUUUAUUGGGGUUGCGGACAUAUCAUAACGAAGAGGUAUCGUAAUUGAAGAGGUUUGGAAAGACCCACCACAGAAGGUAAUAGUCCUGUAUGUUAAACGAGAAGACUUUAGAUAUGAUCCAGAGUACCACGGGACACGUGAAACCCUGUGGGAAGCAGGAGGGACCACCCUCCAAGGCUAAAUACUACCUAGUGACCGAUAGCGUAUAGUACCGUGAGGGAAAGGUGAAAAGAACCCCGGGAAGGGAG
rnacentral:rRNA from 1 species